UGCAUACGUAUUUACUGUUAUAGUAUUCCUUUUUUUAUGAAAUAAUAAAAUAUUUACAUUAUGUGUAGAAAUGAUUUGAAAAAGUCUAGAAAAAGUAGAUCCGGAGGAUCUUCUAUUCUCAAAGUAGCACUUAGGCCACAUUCAGGUUCUAAUAUUUCCUUCAGUUCAGAAAGUCCAUCUACAUCGAAAGUCAAGCGACGGGUUAGUUUUGCAGAAAAGAAUCAUGUUAAAGAAUUUUUAUCUGCGGAACAAGGAACUUUAUGGGACAAUACGUAUGAAGAAUUAUCGAAUAUAAAUACAGGACAAGUUGGUAUAAAUAAUCAGAAUCAUGAAACUUUUAAGAAUACUUCUCAUUCUACAAGUAAUGGUAUGAUAGAGAAUGAAAAUGAGAAUCUAAUGAAUGAUUCGUUAGAAUUAACAGAAUGUUUUGUUACACCGGGUUCCCUUAAAUCAAUGCAUACAGAAGAAAUUCUAUUAAACAAAUCAAUAUCUUUAGCAUAUCAAAAUGAAACUGACGAUAAAAAGAUUAAUAUGUCAAUUGAAUCAAAUCGGAACAUAGAUAUUUGUACGAGUAGGAGUAUAAAUGUUUACAAUGAUUUACCAAACUUUCAUAACAUAGAAGAUCCAGAUUUGAACAAAACUUGUAUCAAAGAUGUAUCUAUGGAGAUUACAGAAAUACCUUCUUUUUUUAAGCUUCCAAACGUAUCUACUAAGCGCAAACUAGAAUCAGAAGAUAAAGAAAACAUACCAAUGUCUGAUAUUAUCAUGGAAUCUAUUCAACAAAAGAAAACAUCUAUUUCAACAAAUGAAAUGAAUAUAUCAGAUGAAACACAAUAUUUUUUCAAUGAAAAUUUAGAAUUUACAGAAUGCUUACAGUCUAUAAAAGAACCGCUUCAUUUGCAGCAAAAACUUAGCAAAAUAAGUGCCUUUACUAAUAAUGAGAAUAUGACUGAUAAUCAAACUCAAAUAUUUAAAAAUGUAUCAAUGGAAAUGACGUGUGCCAUUCCAACGGUUUGUAAAACAAAUUCUAAAAAUCACAAUGUCGUUUUUCACGAUGCUUUGAUGGAUGAUAAGAGCGUAGUUACUUCAGUUAUCAACCAAAAAAAGAAAUCAAUUAGUAAAGAUAUAUCUCAUAUUGAAAAUGAUACAAGAUUUUUAAAGAAAAUGUUUAAUUCUGUUAACGAGACUAAAUUAAUGGAUGCAGCAAUGGAAAUUACAGAAGGGGUUUAUUCAUUACCUCAUUCAACAAGAGUUAAUAAUGUUACGGAUAUUGCGAUUGCUUUAAAUUGUAGUAGCCCCACCAUAAAAGAAAAGACAGUGUUAAAUGAUGAUUCGCUGGAAUUCACUGUACCUGUAGACAAUUUAUCUCGAGUAGUACAUAAUAUUGAUAAAGAAGAAUUACACCAAGUUACUUCUGCCAUAAAUGAUAAAACAGAGUUAAACAAUGAUUCGUUGGAAUUUACUGUACCCGUAAACAAUUUAUCUCGAGUAGUACAUAAUAUUGAUAAAGAAGAAUUACACCAAGUUACUUCUGCCAUAAAUGAUAAAACAGAGUUAAACAAUGAUUCGUUGGAAUUUACUGUACCCGUAAACAAUUUAUCUCGAGUAGUACAUAAUAUAGAUAAAGAAGAAUUACACCAAGUUACUUCUGCCAUAUAUGAUAAAACAGAGUUAAACAAUGAUUCGUUGGAAUUUACUGUACCCGUAAACAAUUUAUCUCGAGUAGUACAUAAUAUUGAUAAAGAAGAAUUACACCAAGUUACAGAAAUGAGUGCUAGUGCAAUGUCGAAUCAAAUUAGAUUAUCAUCAGAGAAAGAAGCUAGUAUCAUUAAAAAUAAACAAAGUGAAAAUAGUAACGUAGGAAAUCAAAUUUUAAACACAAAUGAAAAAUUAGAAAAAAAUAAUUGCUUAUUAGAUUCUAUGUAUAAAAUAACAAGAGAUCAUUCAAUGGAUGAAGUUGAAAAACCAACUAAUAUUCAAUUUAACAGUAGCAACGAUAAUAUAAAGAAAUCUGUGCAUCAGAAAACGAACGAUACAUUAAGUCCUUAUACAACGUAUUAUAAUGACGAUUUAAAAGAAAAAGAAACUGCACAUAAUCAUCAUACUUUAACUUCAUUAAUAUCAUCUUUCGUGUACGCAGAUAUGAUAGAAGAUGAUUCAUUUGUAAAAACGACACAUACAGUCCAGCAAGAAACACAAUCUAGUGAAAAUGUUAUAGACGUGAAUUCAGUAAAUGAUAUGGUUAAUGUACAAACAACAUGUAUUCAAUGUCCUGAAAUAUGUAUCACCAACGAUGAGCAGAUAGUGCAACAAUCUGAAAAUGAUCUUGAAUGUAAUUUCGAAGAUAAUAAUAUCCAAGUAGGUAAUGUUAUAAUUAACAAAGAAAAGAAUAAUCAACACGAUUCAGAUAAAGUUCCAAAUAAAAUUAAUGAAAUUCAUGAAAAUGUUUUUGAAAAUAAACUUAACAAUAAAAGACUUACUAAUACUUCUAUAGAACUAGAAGUUAUUCAAAGAGAUAAAAAAUUAGAUAAAAAAGACAAUAUUGAGAAUGAUUCAGCUGCAUGUAUAAUAAAGUCUAAGAAAAAUUCAUCCAUGGAUAUAAGUGAAUGCGCUAAUACUCAUAGUAGCAACAAUCAGAUUGUUUGCAGAUCAUCUGUUUUUUCACCGACAUUAAUUUCUGCUUACAAUCAAAAUAAAACGUGUAUUGAAGAAAAUAAUAUUACUCCAAUAGCUGACACGACAGACUUAAUAUGCAGCAUGUAUAUAACACAAAAUAAUGAGAAACUUUUGAGAGAAGAAGUUGCAUUGGAAAAAAACACUGGAGAAAAUUCCAGCCUUCAAGAGGAUAAAUUUUCUUUGCUAAUAAGCAAAUUAAAGAACCAUAUGCUUAGUGACGAUUGCAUAUGGAAUUUAUGUUAUGAGAAUAUAGAUAAACAAAUGAUAAUAGUUGGUUUUAUUUCUACAUCUUUACUGAUAGUAAUAAAAACUCAAAAUGAAGUCAACACCAACACGUGUAGGAUCAAAGACGUUAAUGUAAUUUCACGAUUAGAAAAUGAUGAAAAUUUGUUGUUAAGUAUUGCACACAAAUUAUUAAAGGAGAAAAUAAAUUUAGAAUAUAUUCGUCAAUCAUAUAUAUAUGAAGAAGAUAUUAUUCCCUUGUUAAAUCAUAUUUCAGAAGAUGUGAAAUUCAUAUUAGAUUUUAUAUUUGAUUUACAAAAAUUGGAUGAUACAAAUUUAAUGGAAAUAAGUACAGAAAGCAUAACAUUUAUAUUAAGAAGUAAAUGCAUGGACAUUAUAUUGAAAAUUACAAUGGAUAUUAAAUUAUUUGAUAAAAUAAAUUCAUCACACAUCAAGAUCGUUUCUAUUUUGGGUACUGUAAUAGAGGAAGAAAUUCAAAAGUUACUUUUAAAUGUAAAAAGAGAUCAUAAAUUUUUAAGGAGAUACAUGUCUGACAUUAAGGAUUAUAUUGAUAUAAUAGAACAAGUUAAUUUUGCAAAAGAAAUGCAAAAUGAAUUACAAAAAGAAACAAAAAGAAAAGGAAAUUAUAAAUGAUUGAAAUGUAAAAUAUUUAUAGAUGGGUCGAACUGAUGUACAAACGUAAAAGAUUUACAUGUUUAACUAUAUGUAUAAAAUAAUUGUAUUAAUAUUAUGUAGAAUGUGAUAUAAAACUUAUAUUUUAAAUACAUUUCUUUAUAUAAUUAUAUUGUAAUUAUAUUAAGUUAUUAACGAGGAAAAUUCGUUGGGAAUUUUUAAUAUUUUAUAUGCAAAAAGAGCAGGUAUAUACAUACAAACAGGUUGAUCGACUAGCUUCGAUGAAGCCGGUUCGGACUAUGCAGGUUUUUGUUAAUACACUUGUAGUUCUUUGGGUAGUAGCGUGUGAACAACUGGCUUCCCAUAGAAUCAUUCGAGUUUCCGUUUAAUUCUUAAGAAAUAAUUAUCAUCGAUACGUAUGAUUAGAAUUACCAAGAAUGUGCAAUCAAAAAGUUCUUCGUUUCUUUAUAUUAUUGAUAAUUAAUUUUAUGACAAUAAAUAUUAAUCUGAUAA
rnacentral:misc_RNA from 1 species